CAGUCGCCACGGUAAUACGGAUGGAGCUAGCGUUGUUCGGAAUUACCGGGCGUAAAGCGUGCGUAGGCGGUUCGUUAAGUCUGUUGUGAAAGCCCCGGGCUCAACCUGGGAAUGGCAAUGGAUACUGGCAAGCUAGAGUGUGUCAGAGGAUGGUGGAAUUCCCGGUGUAGCGGUGAAAUGCGUAGAGAUCGGGAGGAACAUCAGUGGCGAAGGCGGCCCCCUGGACAAAGACUGACGCUCAGGUGCGAAAGCGUGGGGAGCAAACAGGAUUAGAUACCCCGGUAGUCCCUGUCUCUUAUAC
rnacentral:rRNA from 1 species